rnacentral:rRNA from 1 species
UACGAAGGGGGCUAGCGUUGUUCGGAUUUACUGGGCGUAAAGCGCACGUAGGCGGAUCGUUAAGUCGGGGGGUGAAAUCCUGGAGCUCAACUCCAGAACUGCCUUCGAUACUGGCGAUCUUGAGUCCGGAAGAGGUGAGUGGAACUCCUAGUGUAGAGGUGGAAUUCGUAGAUAUUAGGAAGAACACCAGUGGCGAAGGCGGCCCGCUGGGCAGUGGCUGACGCUGAGGCGCGACAGCGUGGGGGAGCAAACAGG